UGGGGAAUAUUGGACAAUGGGGGCAACCCUGAUCCAGCCAUGCCGCGUGAGUGAUGAAGGCCUUAGGGUUGUAAAGCUCUUUUACCCGGGACGAUAAUGACUGUACCGGGAGAAUAAGCCCCGGCUAACUUCGUGCCAGCAGCCGCGGUAAUACGAAGGGGGCUAGCGUUGCUCGGAAUCACUGGGCGUAAAGCGCACGUAGGCGGAUCCUUAAGUCAGAGGUGAAAUCCCAAGGCUCAACCUUGGAACGGCCUUUGAUACUGGGGAUCUCGAGUCCGGAAGAGGUUGGUGGAACUGCGAGUGUAGAGGUGAAAUUCGUAGAUAUUCGCAAGAACACCAGUGGCGAAGGCGGCCAACUGGUCCGGCACUGACGCUGAGGUGCGAAAGCGUGGGGAGCAAA
rnacentral:rRNA from 1 species